AGGGGAUGCAAAUCAGUCAAACCCAGAGGCAGCUAAGGGGGGCACUGAGCAAGGCUGAGAAGCAGGAGAAGGAGAGAAAAGCCUUUCCUGGGAACCAGGCAGGAGAAGGCGAGAUGCACGCACACAUCCACGCCGGGCUGACUCCACAGAAAACCAGCUCCCAUCAACAUGUCAGGACUGUCAGAGUUUUCUGGAAGGUUUUGUUCUGACUGGGGGUUUCUUGACCUGGGGUCCACGGACACAGAAUGCCAUGGUUCGGAGAAUACCUGGGGACUUGGAAGGGAAGGAAAACUCCCAAGAAACGAUUCUACAAAGGGGAGUGGGUGUGGAAUAAGGAGGCGCUCUGAAUUUAUCUCGUUUGUCAUCCCCAACCUUCAAGACAAACUCUGCUGACAUCCCCCUCGCAUCCGCUGGCACUGCAGGGAGUCAGAGGGUGGGCAUCCCAGGUGUCCUCAAGCGCUGCUGCACGUCAGAAACACGUGGAGCCUCAGGAAUGCUCACGCCCACGUCCAGCCCAGGUUCAAACUCCCUGCGAGGUUCGCAAGCACAGCCCAAGGGACGUGCAGACUGAGAACCACCGGGCUCGACUCAGGCCUGGUGAAGGCGUGGUGGAGAGCAAGGACCUCCUCACGCCGGCAGAAAGGCGGGAGCGGACUCAGCAAAGGAACCAGGGAGAAAGUUAAAUCUUAGGGGCCCAAUGUAGCUGGCACUCCACAUAAUAUAAAAGUCACCAUUUUAAAGUGGCAAUUCAGCGGUUUUCAGUAUCGUUGACAUUGUGGUUGUGCAACCAUCACCACUAUCUAAUCCCAGAACAUUUCCAUCACUCAAAGAGAAACUCCAUUAAGCAGUGACCUCCCCAUCCCUGUCUCCCUGCAACCCCUGACAACAACAAUCCACUUUCCGUCUCUAUGAAUUUGCCUAUUCUGCACACUUCAUAUAAAUGAAAUCAUACAAUAUGUGACCUGCUGUGUCCGGCUUAUUUCACUGAGCAGGAUGUUUUCAAGAUGCAUCCAUGUUGCCGCAUGUGUCAGAAUUUCAUUUCUUUUUAAG